UGUGUCAGUCGAGACGCGAUGUACGGCUACAGAGAAGAUCUUUAUCGCGUUUAAUGGACUCCGCUGCUUCCGUCAGAACAAGAAACAAGAAACUCGGUUCUGAGAAGAGCACGAGAAGUUCUGCGCAUGCGCAUGUCUGACAGCGGAACCCACCUGCCUUUAGAGGCUGCAUGCGCGAUGAAGCUGAGGAGAGGAACUCGCUGCUCUUCGCUUUAACCUACAUUAUUUACGGAUCCUGCCGCUAUCAAGCCACUAACCCGGAAUUCAGUUCAUUACGAAUGCAUGCCGCCUCAAACCGCCCGAAAAAACACAGCUGUUUGGAUUCUCAUUCUGACGGCACCCAUUCACUGCUGAAGAUUCAUUGGGUGUGGCCCAAGAGCUCCAUGACAUCACAGUCCCAGCGCUGAAAAAGCAUCUGGUCACUGAAGCACUGAAGGGGAACUCAAUCCAUGGCCUCACGAACACGUGCAGCCACUGACACUGACAUCAGACACAGCAGCGCCAGUGUCCAUGACAGCCUGCUGAGCUCCAGGCAGCUUCCAAAGCCCAAAUCCAUCACCACUCACUCAUUUCAUUUCACAGAAUUAUCCCCCAAUCAUCCAUAUUGAUCUCAAGCCAGGGAAACUAAUCGAACGAAACCUCAUGUGCAUAAACAGUUUAUCUAAAAACUUUACAAAAUACAUAUUUUGGUUUGCUGUCUCAUAUGCUUCAGAUUUAAAACCUCAGCACUGAGAUCUCAUCAAAAAGCACUAUACUGUUUCCAUGUGACGCUUGAAUUAGACUUACACACAGUCUUUGCAUCCACCGGCAAGAACUCAAGCUGGGUGAGCAUUGCUAACAUACAAGUGCUGUUUAUCACAGUGUUAUCUCAUCAGAAGCAUCAUGUACAGAUCUUCCUGCUGCUGUGCCCUCACUAAACACCAUGCAUUAUGCACAGCAUUCAUCAUUCAUGAGCUGUGAAUAGUGCAUUAGUCACUGAUUAACAAUUGACCAUCAGUAAAGUUAUUUUCCACAUUCUUCUGCUCCUCCCGAGGGCAGAGAGCACAGGCGGCCGACAAAUUAGGAUGUAAAUAAUCUCCAUCCACCGAAAGCAACUGUCUGGCUGAAGCAGCGGUCGGAGGAGAGCUAAUCUACACAACUAACAGAGCUCAGGAUCUGUUUUCACAAACCAAGUGAUGCUUGUUUAAAUAAAUCGGCAGAGUUACGUAUGUGACCCUGUUCUGUGGACA